GCGGGAGUAGCUCAGUUGGUUUAGAGCGCCACGUUGCCAACGUGGAGGUCGAGGGUUCGAACCCCUUUUCCCGCU
rnacentral:tRNA from 1 species